rnacentral:rRNA from 1 species
GACGAACGCUGGCGGCGCGCUUAACACAUGCAAGUCGAGCGAGAACCAGGACUUCGGUCCUGGGGACAGCGGCGAACGGGUGAGUAACACGUGGAUAACCUGCCCUCGGCACCGGGAUAGCCCGGGGAAACCCGGAUUAAUACCGGAUGGCCCUUCCGGCUCACGAGCCGGUCGGAAAAGGUAGCUUCGGCCUCCGGCCGAGGAUGGGUCCGCGGCGGAUUAGCUUGUUGGUGGGGUAACGGCCUACCAAGGCUCCGAUCCGUAGCUGGUCUGAGAGGACGAUCAGCCACACUGGGACUGAGACACGGCCCAGACUCCUACGGGAGGCAGCAGUGGGGAAUCUUGCGCAAUGGGCGAAAGCCUGACGCAGCGACGCCGCGUGAGGGAGGAAGGCCUUCGGGUUGUAAACCUCUUUCAGGAGGGACGAAGCUACUCGGGUGAAUAGCCCAGAGGGUGACGGUACCUCCAGAAGAAGCCCCGGCUAACUACGUGCCAGCCGCCGCUGUAAAAC